AAUAUAUUUUCUACUAUAAAAUCAAGCCGUCAAGACAGGAAAAUAUUACUGGUUUUGUUAUUACAAAAACAAAUGAGAAUUUUUAAUUCACAAAGGAUGAAAACACAAGACACUGGUCUCAUUGUACACACGCUAUUACAAUAGAGUGAUUAGCUGUACACGAAUAACACACUAUAAAGACUUCACAUACACACAUGUGUACUUUGAAACAAGAAACAUGGACAAUUUUAAUCUUUGAUAUGUUCAUGACCACCAAGAGAAAGAACACCACUGAUCUGCAUCUAAUGGUUCCCUGGUAUACAAUCACUACAGAAGCCAGCCAGAAAGGAUUACCACAUUAUUAAGGACACAUGUAGGCAAAUAUAAGCAUUCUGAUUUGGGGCUUUUUCUCCCCACCCAAAACAACCUGGUUUAGGUAUCAAGUAGUUUGGUUUGUUAUUAGUUUAACAAGAUCAUAACAACAAACACAUCAUUUUACCACAAAAUUGAGGUGAGAAGUUUUUAGAUAGAUCAUAUGAAAGAUACUUGUUUCUAAGGAAGGCAACCUGUAAAUUAUAAAUGCAAUUCUAAGGAAAAAUAUCUUGGUCACAAAACAUUCACUUUCAAAUAUUAGUGAAAAAAUAAAAAGUGUGGACUGUGGGUGGAGAGGUGUUGGCAUGGAGAGGAGGAGAAAAGGUGUGAAAUGAGAAAUUAUAUUUGCCACAGGAAAUAGUGGAUUCAGUUGAUUUUCUUAAAUGAGGUAUAAGAGGAUGGCAGUAAAUGCAAAACAGAAACAUUAAAAACCAAAAUGCACAUUUCCAAUGGAAAAAUCUCUAAACCUCUUAGUAGUUUUCUUUAUUAGAUUAGACAUUUCAUAUACAGCAGUUAAUCUAGAAAAAUACAUUUAAAAAAAUCUUCAACAGACCAUGCUCCCUGUAACAAAACCUUCCAAACCCUGUUUUAUUAUACAAAUCAAUCUACAUUAGUAUGUAAAAAGAAAUUCUCAAAUUUAGCAACGUCAUUUGCCAUCCAACAUCCAUCUAAUUUACACAUGGGUUUCCACUAUUCAGCCUGGAGAGUUAGAGAAUUAUGUAAUAAAAUUUUUUCUAACAUUUUCUGUACAUAUUAAAUAAUCUAAAAAGGUUCCCCUUGUAGUGCAUUUACCAUUGAGCAAGUCUAUUCAGUAUUUUUCCAGUACCAUUUGCAUUACAGUGAUUUACCUGUAAAUGUAAUUAGUAUCUAAAAGUGCACACAAUUAACUUUCCCAGGUAAUGGCCUAUUUCUGGAGGAAACCUAAUAUUCACGGAAAAGGUUACCAAUCUCAUGAUUAGAAACAUAGGGUUAGAAUGUGCUCUGAGACUAUACAACACAGUUAUAUACAGAAGCUAAUGGACAUUAAGUCUUUAGCCUAUAUUUACAUCAAAUAAUGUCUGUUUCCACAGGGUCAUACCAAGAACUCAGUAUGGCACUAGAAGAGGAGAUACCAGAUUCACCAGGAAUUGAAAAGCAUGAUAAAGAAAAGGACCAGAAGGAUCCUAAAAAGCUUCGCUCAAUGAAAGUAUCUAGCAUAGAUUCCUCAGAACAGAAGAAAACAAAGAAAAACUUAAAGAAGUUUCUCACAUGACGCCCCACUUUGCAAGCUGUUCGUGAUCCAAAGACCAGGUAUUUGGAUCCAACCUUGCUAAUCUGUGUCAGAGAGAAAAUAGCACAGUGCCAAAGUUUGUGAAGUUAUGUAUUGAACAUGUUGAAGAACAUGGUCUGGAUGUGGACGGGAUAUACAGAGUAAGUGGCAACCUCGCCGUGAUCCAGAAGCUGAGAUUUGCCGUCAAUCAUGAUGAGAAAUUGGACUUGAAUGAUAGUAAAUGGGAAGAUAUUCAUGUUAUCACUGGAGCACUCAAAAUGUUUUUUCAAGAAUUACCAGAGCCCCUUUUUACAUUUAAUCAUUUUAAUGAUUUUGUCAAUGCAAUCAAACAGGAACCAAGACCACGAGUUGCUGCUGUUAAGGACCUAAUCAGACAGUUGCCAAAGCCAAAUCAAGAUACAAUGCAGAUUCUUUUUAGACAUCUCAAAAGAGUUAUAGAACAUGGAGAAAAAAACCGAAUGACCUAUCAGAGUAUAGCGAUUGUUUUUGGUCCUACUCUGUAAAGCCAGAGAAAGAGACUGGUAACAUAGCGGUUCAUACUGUGUACCAAAACCAGACUGUAGAAUUAAUUCUCCUGGAACUAAGUUCCAUCUUCAGAUGUUGAUUCUUACUGAAGACAACCUACGGAAUAAAAGCUGGAUUCCAUUGGAUUUCAAGUCUUUAUAUACCAUCUAUUUUAUUUUUUGGACCAAGCAGUACCUUUUGAUUUUGCACUUUUUUGAGGGAUGAGAAGGGAAGGGGAGAGUCAAGAUGGGUGUUAGGCCCUCCUGUUUGCUGCUUUG